GACGAACCUUGCAAACGUUAUUCGGAAUCACUGGGCUUAAAGGGUGCGUAGGCUGUGCAGAAAGUUGGGUGUGAAAUACCUCGACUUAACCGAGGAAUUGCGCCCAAAACUACUGUGCUCGAGGAAGAUAGAGGUGAGCGGAACUUAGGGUGGAGCGGUGAAAUGCGUUGAUAUCCUAAGGAACACCGGUGGCGAAAGCGGGCUCACUGGAUCUUAUCUGACGCUGAGGCACGAAAGCCAGGGUAGCAAACGGG
rnacentral:rRNA from 1 species